UGACAACAAUUUUUAGCUGAGAGAUUCUUCACCAAAAUGCCAGGCGGCCGGAGGUCUGACAGCGCCUGAUUGAGUGUGUCCCAAUAAGGCUCCAACAGGAAUCGGCUGUCUGUAAAAGGUGAAGGGGGACUGACUGAGUAGAGAGAAGAAGACAAGCCAGGGCAGCCCUCUAGCAGCCUGGGCCAGGCUCCAGUCUAUCCAUCUGUCCAAGUUUUGCAACAAGGCCUCAGGCCACAAAGGGCAUGACUUGACUGCCUGGUGUCUGACUAGGGAUGGGGACCAUUAAAAUGAGGGUGAAGGUGAUCCUAAUGUUAGAUGGCAAUGGAGGCUAGGACUUUUAAGAGUAUGC